rnacentral:lncRNA from 1 species
UGUGUGUGUGUGAGAUGCAAGACCAGAAUUAUAUCCAUUGCAGCUCCUUUGCUCCACUUACAGGCUGGUGAAGCUCUGAGAGAAGGAAGGUCCUCCCUGUACUCUUGUCUGGCCUUCUCUACAUCCUUUUGAACCUGUUUCACAUGGGGUGUUGCAGAAUAAGCAGGGGUUGCCUUGAUUUCCAGAGGAGAGAGUACUCUGGAUAAGGCCUGCAGGAACCGGAGGAAGAGGGUGUUGCAAGCCAAAUUUCAUCAUCGGCGGCAGCCCCAACAGAGGGAGGAGGAGGCGAGGGGCAAACAGACGGCAGAGGCAGCAGCGCUGGCGCAGAAAGGGGAGCUGUUUGGAAACAGGGUGUAGGGUGGCCCUAUCAGCCUCGUCACGCAUAAGGCUGGCUGUGGAGAGCUGGAACUCUCUGCCCACGUGGAACACGCGUGAGCACACGUGUGUGACACCUAGAGCUUGGGGGCACACGGGCACACACUUCUUUAGAAGCUGACAGCAUCCUGAUCCUUGCCUAGCAUCGGUCUCGAAAAGAGCCCCCCCCCCAAAAAAAAAAAAAAAAAACCCAACGUUGACUGACUGGUGAAUGUUGAUGGUCUAAGCAGACACAGCGCCACAUGCUCUUAGAAUCUGGUUCUGCCAGCUCCUUGCCAUCUGCCCCGUGGGCCCUGGCACGUGCCCACUUCUGGCUCCUUUCAUUUUGGGGGUU